AAUCUCAACAUCUAAUAGCAAUGUUCUCCAAAUAUUUCAGUAGCCUAUCAACAUGACGGAAGGAAUAUUUUCAAAUUUGUUCGUAAAAGAUGCAUUGCCAUUAUUCUCAAACCAAUUAAAUAAAACUUAAAAAGAGCCCAGUAUCAGGCAAUGCAAUUGACUAACACAGAUUAGAAAAUCUUUGAUGAGAGAUAAUCCUUAAUGAGAGGUAGCUCACACCAAAUUCAACACCACAUUAAGAAGACCAUGCUUUAUGUUCAAGAUGCCUUCACCAGGAACAUUAGGAUUCACACACACACACAAACUGGCUCACAGUAUAGCGUACAUACAACAUUAUAGGUAAGUCCUAUAUCAGACAUCAAGUGAAUGAAAUGCCUUUUCAGGAAAAACCUGGGACUAGAGAAAGCGUCACUUCAAAUAUCCCAGUUCCACAAACACAAGUGUCACAUUUUGUUUCCUAGGGGUCAUGAACAAGCAGGGGGAACAACAUUUCUGCAUUUGGAAGUUCGUCACACUCAAAGGGGUAGAAAAAGAAAGACUUCCACAGAGGAUGAAUAGGAGACAACCCACCUGGAUGAACAUGGUUCAGUAAAUAACUCUAUGGUUCUGUGUAUCUGGUUUUAUGAUGAGCUCUUUUAUCCACUUGGAGUUGAGUUUUCUUCAAUGUGAUAAGUAUGGAUCAAUUUGGAUUCUUCAACAAGUUUGACAGCCCUGUUUGUUGAAGUUACUGGAAUUGCUACAGUGUAUUUGGGCUUCUCUUGGGAGUACGUAGGUGGAGGCCCUAAAGAGAGGGAUGAGCAGUCUGAGGUGGGGAUGGAGGGUCACUUGGCCUGCUGCCUUACCCUGGGACACAGGACCAGUAGUUUGACUCCCAGGUAAAUAGGGUGGCAUGUUAUUGGGAGGCGUGGG